GGCCGACUGGCGCAAUGGUAGCGCGUCAGACUUCUACUGAUGGUAUUCAGUGAUCUGAAGGCUGCGGGUUCGAGACCCGCGUUGGUCA
rnacentral:tRNA from 1 species